UGGGGAAUCUUGCGCAAUGGGUGGAAGCCUGACGCAGCGACGCCGCGUGUGUGACGAAGGCCUUCGGGUCGUAAAGCACUGUCAGCCGGGAAGAAGACGUGUGUAACCCACACGUAGACGGUACCGGCGAAGGAAGCACCGGCCAACUCCGUGCCAGCAGCCGCGGUAAGACGGAGGGUGCAAGCGUUGUUCGGAAUCAUUGGGCGUAAAGGGCGCGCAGGCGGCCUCCCAAGUCCGGUGUGAAAGCCCGGGGCUCAACUCCGGAAGCGCAUCGGAAACUGGGUGGCUUGAGUCCGAGAGGGGACCGUGGAAUUCCUGGUGUAGGGGUGAAAUCCGUAGAGAUCAGGAGGAACACCGGAGGUGAAAACGACGGUCUGGAUCGGGACUGACGCUGAGGCGCGAAAGCGCGGGUAGCGAACA
rnacentral:rRNA from 1 species